rnacentral:rRNA from 1 species
GAUCCUGGCUCAGAAUCAACGCUGGCGGCGUGCCUCAGACAUGCAAGUCGAACGAUUAAAGCUCUCUUCGGAGAGUGUAUAGAGUGGCGCACGGGUGAGUAACACGUAAGUAAUCUACCCUCGAGUGGGGAAUAACGUCCGGAAACGGACGCUAAUACCGCAUAAUGCAGCGGCACCGCAAGGUGACAGUUGUUAAAGAUUUAUCGCUUGAGGAGGAGCUUGCGGCAGAUUAGCUAGUUGGUAAGGUAAUGGCUUACCAAGGCUACGAUCUGUAACCGGUCUUAGAGGACGGUCGGUCACACUGACACUGAAUAACGGGUCAGACUCCUACGGGAGGCAGCAGUCGGGAAUUUUGGGCAAUGGGCGAAAGCCUGACCCAGCAACGCCGCGUGAAGGAUGAAGUAUUUCGGUAUGUAAACUUCGAAAGAAUAGGAAGAAUAAAUGACGGUACUAUUUAUAAGGUCCGGCUAACUACGUGCCAGCAGCCGCGGUAAUACGUAGGGACCAAGCGUUGUUCGGAUUUACUGGGCGUAAAGGGCGCGUAGGCGGCUUGCCAAGUCACUUGUGAAAUCUCUGGGCUUAACCCAGAACGGCCAAGUGAAACUGGCAUGCUAGAGUGCAGAAGGGGCAAUCGGAAUUCUUGGUGUAGCGGUGAAAUGCGUAGAUAUCAAGAGGAACACCUGAGGUGAA